rnacentral:rRNA from 1 species
AUUGAACGCUGGCGGCAGGCCUAACACAUGCAAGUCGAGCGGCAGCGGGACCUUCGGGUUGCCGGCGAGCGGCGGACGGGUGAGUAAUGCCUAGGAAUCUGCCUGUUAGUGGGGGAUAACGCGGGGAAACUCGCGCUAAUACCGCAGACGCCCUACGGGAGAAAGCGGGGGCUCUUCGGACCUCGCGCUAACAGAUGAGCCCAGGUCGGAUUAGCUAGUUGGGGGGGUAAUGGCUCACCAAGGCGACGAUCCGUAACUGGUCUGAGAGGAUGAUCAGUCACACUGGAACUGAGACACGGUCCAGACUCCUACGGGAGGCAGCAGUGGGGAAUAUUGGACAAUGGGCGAAAGCCUGAUCCAGCCAUGCCGCGUGUGUGGAGAAGGUCUUCGGAUUGUAAAGCACUUUAAGUCGGGAGGAAGGGCUGUAGGCUAAUACCUUGCAGUUUUGACGUUACCGACAGAAUAAGCACCGGCUAACUUCGUGCCAGCAGCCGCCGUAACAC